rnacentral:rRNA from 1 species
UGGAUGAGUUGCGAACGGGUGAGUAACGCGUAGGCAACCUGCCCCAUACAAAGGGAUAGCAUUUGGAAACGAAUAUUAAUACCUUAUGAAACUUAACUAGUGCAUGCUAGGUAGGUCAAAGAUUUAUCGGUAUGGGAUGGGCCUGCGUCUGAUUAGCUAGUUGGUGAGGUAACGGCUCACCAAGGCGACGAUCAGUAGCCGACCUGAGAGGGUGAACGGCCACAUUGGAACUGAGACACGGUCCAAACUCC